UUCAUCCUAUGGAAUUUCUUUUCGGAUCCUUUUCUCUAUUUCGGAGCAACGUACCGCGAGAAAGACGUGCAAAACGUUCCCCUACUCCUCUCUGUUUUUCCUUCUUCAUUAUUCUUGAUUCUCUCCGUGCUUUAUCUCGAUUCCUCCUAGCGCCCUCCGCCUGCUAUCUCUGUCGAGCCACAGUAAAUUCGCAUCGGCCAUCAGCCGGUGCCAAUAACGUACCAAAGCAGAUGGAAGAUGUGGUGAGGGUUUGGUGGUUAGCCCGACGCUGGUGGGGGUAAGGGAUACUUACUGUCUGCAGGGCCGUGUUCAUCAAUCAACGCACCCUACUCCUACAUAUGAUCGCGUUUAUACUAAAAUGUUAUCAUCGAUAUCGUGCUAAGAUUUCAUCUACUGUGUAUUUCAAUAGUAUCUAGAUAAUGAAGCAAUACUCUCGACGUCAGAUAAAAUGAUAUCACGAUACAACGGCGAAUCAUUGAAAACCCGACAAAAACAUAAUUGAAGUUUACCUCGAUAAUCGGUCACAUCUCGCAUCAAUGAUUUGGAACAAAUUCGACAGUCGCGAAACUACGGCGCAACGUUUGUAUUAAUGAUAUGAAAACUUUCAUUCCGAUAAAAUGAACUUCGAAGGAAAGUAUCGGUCGAGGUGUGCUUUUUUCACCAUUUAAGCGGAUAAUUCAAAGUCAAGUGCACACACUUGUCUCUCCGGGAGUUAAUUUGUCGUGCGUUUGAGCGCGAUCAUCGUGCCGCCAUGCCUUUGAGCCGCUCCUCCGUGUCGCACAGUGAAACGUCGUUGCACGCGUUCGUGUAUUAUGCUUUUUUUUCUUCUCUUCUCGUCUGUGCAACUUUGUCUAUAUGCGACUGCUACGCAUGCACGUUCCCGCGAACAUAGCACUAAAUCGAACUAGCUGACCGUACUAAAAACAUACGUGAGAAAUAUAUUUCCCUGACGGCGGAGUGGUUAAUUUUUGGGUGUUGAACCGAGAUUUUGGUAUAGUAAUUGGACGUUUCUUGUAACUGUCUGGUUAUAGGAAAAAUUACUAAAAUAAAAUGGCAAAAUUCUUUUGUUGGAAAGUGGGGCAGUUCGAAAGAAGUGGGAAAAAAGCGAUCGAGGAAACAGCAUGUUAAUUUUAACGAGUCCAGAGACGUUUGGAAUUUGUAAUUACAUUCUGUAAAGUUGAAAGAAAUUCUCUACUAGUUAUUCGUUGCUUCCCUGCCACGAAAUUUCUUCACGCGUUUAAAAAAAUUAUUUAAAAGGUUAUUUUGGGGAAAGGUAGCGAAGAAAAAAAAAUAUAUAUAUAAACGAGCGAAAUUUAGAUUCCAGCUAAACUCUAAAGUAAAAAAAAAUCUACUACGGUUCUCAUUCUCUACCGAGACGUUUAACUCGAUACUUUUUAUUAUUCUUCUCCUACAGACAUCAUCCUUAUGCAUAAAGCCUUCUACCAGUCACCGUUCGCAUUUCCACUCACGAUUCACUGUUAGUGUUAUUUAAUUAAAAGAAAAUACAAUACAAAGACCUCUUUCAUCUCCGCUGGAACCACUAAUACAAGGAUAAUUAUUUCUUUGAGAAAUUACGCUACUAAUACUGACUAAAGGAAUUAAUUUUUUAUAAUACUUCAGUCAGAAUGGAGGCUGAAUAGCUUCUAUUUCUUUUAUUCGUCGCAAAAAUGCUACAACAUACUUAGAUAGACAUACACACGAGACGAUAGAAAGCGACAUUAUCUUAUUAACAUUACUUUUUUCAAGCCCGAGCGCAACGUGAAACGAUCGUCACAAUGCUCGUUCUUUGGAACGACCCUGACAAAGUCUGACUAGAUGGCCAGACAACCGCGAGACAAGCUUAACCAUUUCAUGAAUACUCUGACGACUCUAUACGUUUCUUGCCACGACUUAGUCAUUUCCGAUACCGGCGAACGGGGAAAUCCGUGCAUGUUCCUAAAUUAUCGUUCUAUAUGCAAACAGAGAUGCGUAUAUUUCCUAUAACGAGUCGAAUAUUUCGUGUGAACAUUUAUACAUAGAUAUUUUAAAAAUGAAAAAUUAUUACAUAGGCACAAACAAUGUACAAUGGGUGCUCCGUUCUUUUCUCCUCGCUCGUUGUGGCUUAGAAUAUUCAGAGUUUACGUUCAAGGACGAUAAGAUAUGACUUGAAUGACAAGAUUUUGCUAGAAUGAACAUUUUCAUUACAGAGAGCCACAAAUUUCGUACGAUAAGCCCUGCCCCUGCCCGGUUUACUCCACCGCAAAACGACUAUGCGAAUUGCGCAAGCGUAAUGCAGUCCGUAGUUUAGGCGUCAGCGAUAGACAAGUAGGUAGGCAGUAAACCUGCAGCGAGGUACAAAGAGAGCAAGAAGGUAGAAAAGAGAAAUUCUCGUAACGCGCGUUCUUGGAACAACGGAUGAAGGAAAGUGCAGAAAGAAAUAAGUAAAGAAAAAGGAUAGGGAAAAAAUGAUGAGAGAAGGUUAGAAUAAGAAGGAGCGAGAGAAAUGGAAAAAGAAGAAAAGAAAGCAGAAGGAAAAAAGAGAGCAUUGGUAAUGCAGUGAUACGCAGCGGCAGCAGUGGCGCCAAAAAUGCAAUGCGGUGCGCCAGAACGACGGCGUCGGCGUCGGGCGUGGCGGAUAACUGACCUCGACUCGUCUAGCCCGGCCGCCCCUGACGCCGCACCGUUUCCCACCAAUUUUACCCCGAUCCCUCUGUUGCACCUUCGUGCCAUUGCUCCCCCACUAUCGCGACGUAGAAUACCACCACUACGCACCACCCGUUUGAAACUUUUUCUCUCUACUCUCCACUUUCUACUCUACUCUACUAUAUACACAUUUACCCUUUUCUCAUUCCAUCCCCUUUCUUUUUUUUUUUGUGGUAGAGCUUUCGUUCUUCUCGUCCUACGGUCAAAUGGUCGCGUUACCCCUCCAGCAACGACCUUACUCCCUCUACACCUGUUUUACACCCGGUGACCCCCACCCUUUCAUUUCUCUCGUACUAUCUCUGUUCGAUUCUUCUCUCCUCUACGUUCGCGUCUACUCUUCUCGUCUCGUCGCGGCCUUCCGCGCCCCUGGAAGAUCGGCAGACAGCAGUCUGACUGUCUGGUUGCCCAGCAACGCGCCGUUGCCCGUCGCCGUCGAUGAGAGAUGGUGAAUUUAGCGAUAGUUUCGUGCUGCAUCUUGCAUGAGCAAAUCUGACGAGAAAUUGUGUUGACCGAAUCAACGCUGGGUAAAGUAGUCACAAUAUAUCGUAUCAGAGAAAGUCGUGAAUGGUAGCACGGUAACAUGGAACACGAUAUUGGUUAACAAUACGCCUUGGUAUGUGUAUGCAUAUAGAGGUAUUCAUCAGUCAAUGAUUGAGCAAGUUAAAGCCCUUCUAUUGAUACAUGGUACAUGUGGGUGCUAGUGGCCGUUGUACAUCGGCGCUUAUAAUGAAACAGUACGCUGUAAAUGACAUUUCUACGAUGUGAUAAAGCUAAGCUUGCCGUGAUUAUUAUAUUUAUCGUUUUCUCGAAAGUUACCUUUCUACGUUUAAAAGAUACAAGAUUUAAAGAAUUCAUACUAUAGUAUUGCAGCGCAUUCUUAAAACAACGGUCCACUGUAUUUUUUCUUUACAUUUGUUUGCAAAGUGACUUCCAGUCUUUAAAAUCAAAAUCAAUCAAGAACGACAUUCAAAAUUCUAAUGCAGAUAGCAAAGAUUUAUCUACUGUACAACUAGUUUAUUCGACAACAACAUUCCUUUGUUAGAAACCAAUUCUUCAGCUAAUAAGGUUCGAUUGUGUGUGACUCAUAACGCAACUGAGUGACUCAGACCCUGAGACUGUUAGCGAUGUUUCGAGAAGACGUGGCAUCCGAACCUGAAUCAUAAGAGUAUCGCUAGAACCAUCGAAUACCUAGUACCGGACAUACACCCCAUAUCUAUAUUAUCUUUUUAUAGCGUAAAAUCUAUAUUAAAUAACAUAUCAACUCAUUCAAUAAAAAAUUAAAUUUCAAAACUUGACAUUCGUCGAUACUUAUUUAAUUAUUAAGAUGUUUAUCUAAGUAUUAUAUUUAUUUUGUGUCAGAAUUAUUCAUCAGAGGUUGCAACAAUUAUUUGUGUAACGUUAAUAGUCAUUGGUCAAACUGAUCGUGAAUCAUUUCAAUACUUGUUUUAUUACAUAGACUUUAUUAUUAUUUUAGUUACGCGUGAUUUUAAAAUAUAAAAAAGAAUUUUGAUCGGUAUGUAUUAAAAAUUCGUUAUCAUAAAGUAAAAUAAUUGCAUAAAUACUAAAAAUAAUGCUCAUCAUUAAAAUAUUCUUACAGUUUAAUUAUUUCCAUCUUACAUCAUAAUUGAUUUUCUUAUUAAUAUCAAUGCUUAUUUUCAUUAAUUUAUCUGUACAUUAACAAUUUAUAAGAAGUGAAUUAUUUGUAAUGUUAUGUAAUAAUUAUGUAAAUUAUUUGUACAAGGUAACCAUUGUGUAAAAUGUAUAUAGUUUUUAUUUAUGUUUUCAUUGUACGAGUUGCACCAUUACGUGCCACUUUGUUUCAAAACACGUGAUUAGAAUUAUAUUUCAAGACAAAUUGAUAGAAACAUUAACAUGAUUUAGAACUAUUGAACACUUUACUUUCAAAUGUCUGUUCAUACAAUGAGAAUGCAGGAUACAAAUUUGUUUCCCAAUAAUCAUUAUCACAUAACAGAUCUCAUUAGACGUGAUCUACAUAUAUAUAAAAUUAUAUUUUGCGAAACAUGUGAAAAAGAUACAGAAAUGUGAAUAAGUUUUAUCAUGUAAAAUUCGUACAUAUGUUUCAUUCCUUGUAACAUGUAUGCACAAGAUGAUUUACAUUGUAAUAUUAGUGAUCUAUUCUUAAAUACUUUAACAUGUUAUUUAGAUGUUUACUAAAAUUCCUUUUGCAAAGUCUGUUGCUUGCUCUCCAUAUUAUUAUAGUCAUAUAAAGAAAAGUCGUGAAGCAUUAAAAACAUAAUUGUAAAAUAUAUUUUAAAGAGUGUCAAAUCGAAUACCAUAUCUUUUAUAUUUUGUAUGUAAUGUAAUAGCAUUCCAUUAUGGGAUUGUUCGUGUAAAUAAAACGGAAAGCAAAAAUAUAUAAUCACUCUGAUUUUUUAAUGUUUACUACCUGCACUUUAUCUACAAAGUAUGCAUAAUGUUAUUUCAAAUAGUUGACUAGAUACAUACCUAAUAUAAUAGGUAAUCUGGAUAUUCUUUCUGAUGGUUAUCAUAUAUUCGAAGAUUAUAGGAAACAAAUGCAAUAAAACUAUAUUAAUAGCAACAUAAAUAAUUGAUAAAUGAGCAGUGUGUAAAAUUCUAUAUUUAAUACAUUUUUUAUGGCAAAAAUAUGUAUGUUAAAAAAAGUUAUUAAAUACAAUGUUUGUGUGCAAAAUUAAGAAACACAUAUUACAAGAUGGUCGGCUUAUAUUUAUCCAUUUUACAUACUUUGUGAAGGAAUGUGUAGAUAGUAAACAAAUACAAAGUAUUUAAAAAUUUGCUAAUACACUUUUACAGCACAGACUUACCAUUUCACAAUAAUUAUUUUUCUUUAAUACCUUCAAAUGGAGGGUCCUGGAAGAUCUUUGCUGUUUACAAUUUUGUUAUCUUUAGUCUUAAUUUUUACAUUAAAAUGUAUCAGCGAUACAAACGUGCAAAAUUGCGUAAGGCAUGAGUUAUCGAUUUUGGUGUUUCCGCUCUGAAAGAAAAUUUAUG